AUGCAGUCGACGGGCUCUUCGGAGCAAGUGGCGGACGGGUGAGUAACGCGUGAGAAUGUGCCUUGAGGAUGGGGAUAACAAUAGGAAACUAAUGCUAAGACCCAAUGUGCCUUAAGAGGUGAAAAAUGAAAAUUGCCUGAAGAGGAGCUCGCGUCUGAUUAGCUAGUUGGGGUGGUAAAAGCGCACCAAGGCAACGAUCAGUAGCUGGUCUGAGAGGAUGAGCAGCCACACUGGGACUGAGACACGGCCCAGACUCCUACGGGAGGCAGCAGUGGGGAAUUUUCCGCAAUGGGCGAAAGCCUGACGGAGCAAUACCGCGUGAGGGAGGAAGGCUCUUGGGUUGUAAACCUCAAAACUUAGGGAAGAAAAAAAUGACGGUACCUAAUCUAAGCAUCGGCUAACUCCGUGCCAGCAGCCGCGGUAAUACG
rnacentral:rRNA from 1 species